rnacentral:rRNA from 1 species
AGUGAACGCUGGCGGUAGGCCUAACACAUGCAAGUCGAACGGCAGCACAGGAGAGCUUGCUCUCUGGGUGGCGAGUGGCGGACGGGUGAGGAAUACAUCGGAAUCUACCUUUUCGUGGGGGAUAACGUAGGGAAACUUACGCUAAUACCGCAUACGACCUACGGGUGAAAGUGGGGGACCGCAAGGCCUCACGCGAUUAGAUGAGCCGAUGUCCGGUUAGCUAGUUGGCGGGGUAAUGGCCCACCAAGGCGACGAUCGGUAGCUGGUCUGAGAGGAUGAUCAGCCACACUGGAACUGAGACACGGUCCAGACUCCUACGGGAGGCAGCAGUGGGGAAUAUUGGACAAUGGGCGCAAGCCUGAUCCAGCCAUACCGCGUGGGUGAAGAAGGCCUUCUGGUUGUAAAGCCCUUUUGUUGGGAAAGAAAUCCUGUCGAUUAAUACUCGGUGGGGAUGACGGUACCCAAAGAAUAAGCACCGGCUAACUUCGUGCCAGCCGCCGCCGUAAAAC